GACGAACGCUGGCGGCGUGCUUAACACAUGCAAGUCGAACGAUGAAGCUGGAGCUUGCUCUAGCGGAUUGGUGGCGAACGGGUGAGUAACACGUGAGCAAUCUGCCCUUGACUCUGGGAUAACUGCGGGAAACUGUAGCUAAUACCGGAUACUUUCACCGGGGGGCAUCCUCUGGUGAUGAAAGAAUUUCGGUCAAGGAUGAGCUCGCGGCCUAUCAGCUUGUUGGUGAGGUAACGGCUCACCAAGGCGACGACGGGUAACCGGCCUGAGAGGGUGACCGGGCACACUGGGACUGAGACACGGCCCAGACUCCUACGGGAGGCAGGAGUGGGGAAUAUUGCACAAUGGGCGCAAGCGUGAUGCAGCAACGCCGCGUGAGGGAUGAACGCCUUCGGGUUGUAAACCUCUUUUAGCAGGGAAGAAGCGAAAGUGACGGUACCUGCAGAAAAAGCACCGGCUAACUACGUGCCAGCCGCCGCAGUAA
rnacentral:rRNA from 1 species